UACGUAGGGUCCAAGCGUUAAUCGGAAUUACUGGGCGUAAAGCGUGCGCAGGCGGCUUCGCAAGUCAGACGUGAAAUCCCCGGGCUCAACCUGGGAAUGGCGUUUGAAACUACGGAGCUGGAGUGUGGCAGAGGGAGGUAGAAUUCCACGUGUAGCGGUGAAAUGCGUAGAUAUGCGGAGGAACACCGCUGGCGAAGGCAAUCCCCUGGGCCUGUACUGACGCUCAUGCACGAAAGCGUGGGGAGCAAACAGG
rnacentral:rRNA from 1 species